UUCGGCAGAGCUACAAUGUUGUGGCUGUUUGAGAUUCAUAUGGUUUAAGGAGGACCAGUGAGGAGGAGAAGGAUUCUGAGUUGUAAGUAGCAACACUCAAUCGUGACCCCCUUCCCUCUCUUCUUGUGGAUUUCAAUGUAUAAUUAUAUUACCUUUUCAGAAAUUAAAGAGUUCUUGACAUUACCCUAUGGGCUGGUGGCUUGGCGGCAAACAGGACAAGAAGAUUGAUCUGAAACAAGAUAGCGCAGUUGAAGACUUACAAGGAUGCAUAUAUUGCUAUCUGCCUUUACUGCUAGAAAAAUUGUGCAAAACAUGUAGUAGCAAGCGAGUAAUAGAAGAACAGGUAGUAGCAAUCUAAAAGUACUACUGAAUAGGUAGUAGCAACCUAAGAUAAAAACUGCAGAACAAGCCAAAGCAACCACUACAGUACAUACCAAGCAGUAGCAAGCACUACAGUACAGACCAUAGCAAGCGAAAAACUGUAGCAAAUAUAUUACUGAACAUGGCUUUCUCCCUAGGAAAGAAAAGUAAAAAAAAGAAAUCAUCUAAAAGAUCAAGACACUUUGGUGAGGGUGUAGGAUUGACUUCAUUAUAAUUAGUUCAGCCACAUGCGUAAGCACUCUAGCCUGGGUCUGUAUGUGCCAAUCCUGAGCAACCUGAUAUAGCCAUAAUUUUACUGUGUGGUUGGCAAUUGCAUCUUCAGUAUCAAUCGAGUAUAUUUAAGAACUUACAAUAAUGAAAGAUUAGUUUCUGAAUACUAGCAUGCUAGGUUUAUACUAGCAGGCCUGUAGCUUUGUUUGUUUUUUGGGUGAGACCCCUGAUUUUGCUUAUCGUUGUCAAGAUAUUUACCAAGUGAAGCGUCGUGUGCCUUGGCUUCCCAAGGUUUUCCUCACCUUUGUUUUUGCUAGAAAAAUUGAGGUGAAACUAAAGUGGCUGUUCCUCUCCUUUCCAUGCAUUAUCCGUUGGUCCUGUGGUCGCGUACAUAGAAAUAAUACAUGAA
rnacentral:lncRNA from 1 species